GAUGAACGCUGGCGGCGUGCCUAAUACAUGCAAGUCGAGCGAAUGGAUUAAGAGCUUGCUCUUAUGAAGUUAGCGGCGGACGGGUGAGUAACACGUGGGUAACCUGCCCAUAAGACUGGGAUAACUCCGGGAAACCGGGGCUAAUACCGGAUAACAUUUUGAACCGCAUGGUUCGAAAUUGAAAGGCGGCUUAGGCUGUCACUUAUGGAUGGACCCGCGUCGCAUUAGCUAGUUGGUGAGGUAACGGCUCACCAAGGCAACGAUGCGUAGCCGACCUGAGAGGGUGAGCGGCCAAACUGGGACUGGGACACGGCCCAGACUCCUACGGGAGGCAGCAGUAGGGAAUCUUCCGCAAUGGACGAAGGUCUGACGGAGCAACGCCGCGUGAGUGAUGAAGGCUUUCGGGUCGUAAAACUCUGUUGUUAGGGAAGGACAAGUGCUAGUUGAAUAAGCUGGCACCUUGACGGUACCUAACCAGAAAGCCACGGCUAACUACGUGCCAGCCGCCGCCGUAA
rnacentral:rRNA from 1 species